AACGAACGCUGGCGGCAUGUCUAACACAUGCAAUUCGAACGAUUCCUCCGGGUCUGGUGUCCCACGGGUGCGUAACGCGGGGUCACCUGCCCUUAGGUUCUGCAUAACUCCCAGCAUGGGGUUCUAAUACCGCUUAAUGUCUUCGGACCAAAGAUUUAUCGCCUUUGGAUGGGCCCGCGUUGGAUUAGCUUGUUGGUAGGGUAAAAGCCUACCAAGGCGACGAUCCAUAGCUGGUCUGAGAGGGGGAGCAGCCACACUGGGACUGAGACACGGCCCAGACUCCUACGCGAGGCAGCAGUGGGGAAUGUGGCAGUUCGGCCGCAAGACUGAGCCAGUGAUGCCGCGUGAGUGAUGAAGGGAUUAGGGUUGUAAAGCGCUUGUACACGGGACGAUAAUGACAGUACCGGGAGAAUAAGCCUCGGCUAGCUCCGUG
rnacentral:rRNA from 1 species